CACUCAUUGAGGAGGGACAUCCAAGGAGGAUGUAUUUAAGUUGUGUGAUUGACCCCACCCAAGCCCUGGAGCUAGGAGGAUGAAGCUGAGGCAGGGAGAUGAAUAACAUUAGCUUCUAUGUCCUGAGACGCUUCUGGUCAAGCUCUGAGGGAAGGUGGGUCCCUGAAACCAGCUGAGUUAAUUGUAGGAAGCAUGUGUCAUGUGAUGUCAUCUCAGGAAUGCAGUGAAGGCUCCGUCAAGCUGCUGAAGAACCUGUGAAGAGUCACAACACUGGCUGCCGUAAUUGGAGGCACCGAGGAUGGGCAGGAUGUGAGACUUGGUGGUGGGGCCCCUGCCUGAGUCACACACUGCCUCCUGCCUGAGCACAGAGAACCUCUAAGAUAAACCACAGGCCAGGACUGUGGAUUCGGAGCAGCUUCGCCCCAACAGCGACAGAUUCCCCACUGUCCCCAGCUGCUCCACCCCUGGAUCUCCAGAGUUGCCCCCUGUCCCCGGCUGCCAUGACUGACACGCCAGCAGAGGAAUCCCUCUUCCAAAUCAUCCACUGCUACCACCAGUACGCGGCCCGGGAAGGGGACGUGGAGACUCUGUCCCUGGAGGAGCUGAAGGCCCUGCUCAUGGACAAUGUCCCCCGCUUCAUGGAGAGCUUGGGCCGGAAGGAGCCGUACUACAUCACCGAGUUGUUCCGGGCAGCAGACAAGAACAAGGACAACCAGAUCUGCUUUGAUGAGUUCCUCUACAUCUUGGGCAAGCUAUUGAAGGACUACCACCUGCAGUACCACCAGCAGCUAUGCGCCCACUACUGCUCCCAGCACAGCCUCUACUAGAGGGAGCACAGGCAGCCUCCUGUGGAGCCUGUCCUGAGGAGCAGGUGUAACCUGACUAUGGGCAGCUGAAUGGAGAGCUCUGCUGUGCGUGUCUGUGUGUGCCCACAUCUGUGCUCGCACAUGUACAUGUCUGUGGAAAGGACAGCUGUGAGGGAAGAGAAUAAAGCAACACCGUAGAUGUUUCCGGGUCUGUUCAGUUUGUGGAUCUGGGCAUCUGCUAUGGUACCAGAAAGUGGAGGUUUGGUCCGAUCAUGGAGAUCAUCCUUUUUGGGCGAGAGACAGCUCCUGCUUCCAGGAUCCCCUGUCUGGCAGGGGAGACAGCCCCUGCCCUCAGCUUUCCGUCUAAGAGGAGCACUCUCUUUUCUUGGGGAGCCGGCUCUCUGACAAGGAGGCUAGGACUCACUAGUAAUGCUUCCAACACUCUUUUAUUCCACAGACAUAUGGGACAGGAGCCAGGAGGGCAGAGGCACACUGGACAUGGACCCCACUUUUGAUGGUCUCCCUGCUCUGGAGGAGAGCGCCCGUGAAUCAGUGUGCAAAGGUGGAGAGGCCUGGGCCUGGGAACGGGUCAGGAUGGGUGGGGAAGAUGAUCUGGUGAUUGACAUGGGGUGGAGGUCGUGGGGGCCAGUGUGUGAGGGAAGAUUGUGAGG
rnacentral:lncRNA from 1 species